rnacentral:rRNA from 1 species
GGAGUUAGCCGGUGCUUCUUCUGUGAGUGAUGUCCUUCCUGCCGGUUAUUGACCCGCAGGCCUUCUUCCUCACUGAAAGUGCUUUACAACCCGAAGGCCUUCUUCACACACGCGGCAUGGCUGGAUCAGGGUUGCCCCCAUUGUCCAAUAUUCCCCACUGCUGCCUCCCGUAGGAGUCUGGGCCGUGUCUCAGUCCCAGUGUGGCUGAUCAUCCUCUCAGACCAGCUACGGAUCGUCGCCUUGGUGAGCCGUUACCUCACCAACCAGCUAAUCCGACAUAGGCUCAUCCGAUAGCGCGAGGCCCGAAGGUCCCCCGCUUUCCCCCGUAGGGCGUAUGCGGUAUUAGCCUGGGUUUUCCCCCACGGUUAUCCCCCACUACCGGGCAGAUUCCUAUGCAUUACUCACCCGUCCGCCGCUCGCCACCAGGGAGCAAGCUCCCCGUGCUGCCGCUCGACUUGCAUGUGUUAGGCCUGCCGCCAGCGUUCAAUCUGAGCCAGAAUCAAACUCUGA